rnacentral:pre_miRNA from 1 species
UAAUCUAUUUUAAAUAAAUCUUUAUCUAGUUAUAAUAUAUUCAUACAUGAUUACCUAUAAUCAUUCGUUAUCGCAAGAUGUUAUAGUAACUAAUCAGCCGGAGAUCGACAUCAAGAGAUUGAAA